UGAUUCUUGUGGGAUCCCCACACAUCUUGCAAGAUCAACAACAAGUGGCUGGGCCUCUACAUUAUUCAGAAAAGCUAUUUUUAUCUUUCAUUUAUUUGUCUAAUUUAUGUGCCCGUGUAUUCGCCUCCGUUCCGCUCUUGUUGAAGUUCCAACGAAUUUCUGUGCUACCUAAGAGGUACUAAUGCUCAUAUAUUACAAUUUGGUACCCACAACCUUCAGUCACGGGAUCUUGAGAAAAGCAGUUUAGGCAUUUUGUUUGUGUCAACUAUACAGAAUCCCUGCGGUUCGAUUUUUGGUUUGUAGGCAACCAACACAAUAUGCAGGCAAACAGAGAUGUGGUUUUGCUGUAGUAGGCAAAUAUUCAUUGUCCAUUUUAUGUGUUUGUAGGCAACUGAAGUACUCAACCUGUAUAUAUCCAUUAAUUCGUGUAUAAGCCAAUCUUUUUUGGCAUAUCCAUUGCAUGAUCUACCUAUGUAUGUUUGUAAUUUUGCCUUACUAAGCUGCAAUGCAUAUACUCAGUUUGUCUUUACUAAGCUGCUAUACAUACACUCAAUCUUGUGGUGAUUCCAGCUUUGAGCUUGCAACUGAACCUUAAGACUACUAAUUACUUUUGUGGAUGGUUAAACCUGAAAUCUGAAACAAAAUCUGGUAGCAGUCUUGCCCCCCUCAGCAAAAAAAUAUGCAUUGAGGUCAGCUAUCUGCAACGUCCCUUUUUUCGUUUCAGUGAUGCAUGACCAUAGCGUGGCAUGAAGUUCUAUCUUUGAUCCUUGCCAUGCUACUGCUUUGUUGAACCAUCUCAAGGCGUAUGGACCUGGUUCUUUUUAAGCACAAUUUUCUUUUAUUGUCUUUACAUGCUCAUUUAAUUCGUUUAUGUUUCCUUUUCCGUUGCAGUGGUGGAUGAUAUAUUCUCUGCCAUGAAUGGAUGUUUUUGGCGUUGUGAGAUGGCGUAGGUCACUGAUGAGGCAAGUGACCGAGGUGAGCUCAUGAAGACAAAGCGGCACAAAUAAACUUCUGACAAACUCAUUGGAAUGGGCGCCUCCCCCCAAAACUUCGCCGUGAUCCGCCACAACCGGCAACGGCGAGGCCAGAGGUGACCGUAUCCGGCACAGGUUGGUCUCUCCCCUCCUUCUUCGCCCACCCUCUCCACAUCACCUCACUCCAUCUUGUCUUCCCUUUUUUGCAGGUUGCCAUGGCACGGACGGCGACGAUGACAGGAGGGGCGCGCACAUCCAUGGGACGGGACGCCGCCAUAGAGAUGGAGCUCCUUCACAUCACGCAGAGGCCCCAUGGAGCCCCCCUCCUUCUCCGGUGACUCUUCUCAGGCCCGACCCCCUACCUCUCCCCCUCCCUCUCCUGUACUUUGAGCUGUACCAGCUCUGUUUCAGAUUCUGAAGGCCUCUGUACCAUACUUUUAGCUUCAUUUGCAAUCACAUACAAUUUUCUUGUUUUGUUUUUCUGAUUCACUUCUCUCGACACUUGUUUGUGUGCCACUUAUUAUGGCCAGCUUGGCCAUUUUCUCUGGAAGGAGUCACUCAACUCACAAAGAACAAAGAACAAAUAAUAAAGACUAUUUUAUCUUUCUUGCAAUAAUUCAGGUUGAUUGUUCCGACCAUUCAGGUUGCAGGAUUUGAGGUGUGGUCGUUGAGGUGGGGCAGCAAAGAUAAUUAGCGGUCUGUAUGCUAAUGAGGAGAACGUCCCUCUAUUAAUUUUGGGUGUUGGGUUCUGUUUAGUGAAUUUUUGAAAAUAGUUGGCCUGGUAAAACACCAUUGUUUGCCCUGUGGGUCAAUAGGGACUUGACAAACAAAAAAAUGCAUCACUCUCCAUUUAAUGGCCUAAAAACACUGGCAUGUUUGGAUGAAAUUUUCAUCUAUAUGUAUAAGCCGUGGGCUAUUCCAAGAAGAGGGUGACUAUGCAUCAGUUGUACAAUCAUGUGUCCAUCUGCUGCUUUUUUGAAUCGUAUAAAAUCUAGAGCUACCUUACAAAACUGUUCUGUUUACUAUGGAGUAAAAUCUAGAGCUAGCUUAUAAUACUGCUUGAAAAUAGCUUUGGCUCUUCACACCUGGGAGUAAUAUGACAGUUUGCAUUCCUAUUUUUGUUUUCUUUGUAUAUAUAUACAGUUUUCAUAUUCUAUUUGUUUGCUCCUGAAGCUUAUGUUUUCCUUUUUCAGAAUUGAGUGUGUAUGAACAAAGCAAUAGAGGUUGUGUUAAUUCCUAGAGCCUAAUAUGUUCUUUUGUCUCCCGGUGAUUAGUUCGAAUGGCCGUGUGAGGUAAUAGAGCUUUCUAUCGUUGCUUCCUCAUGCUUCUCCGCCCUGCAUUCUCACAUUUGUUAAUGGAAAAAUAACCCUGCAUUCUCACUUUGUUAAUGAAAAAAAAGGGAUUACAAGCACUGCUCUGUGCAAGAAAUGGGUGUAUGUGUUCUAAUUUAGUUGCUUGGCCUGCCAGCCUAUCUUCCCUAGAUGCUUACUUUCUUACAUGUUGCACGUCAUGUUACAGUUUCGCCGGCCUGUCUCGGCUCAUGUUAGGCACCAUGUCACGGUGUCUAACUAUUUAUGCACAACAUGGUGACAUGGUGUUUAUAGCCUGUUGGGACGCCUGCGGGUAUUCUCACUGACCACCUCUGCUUGUUUUGGCUCCUUCUAAUUGAUGUGUUACUUUGUCUAUUUUCAUGUACCCAGAUCCCUGACAAAAUCCAUGUAUUUAACCGUGGCAUGUUUGGCAGCUGCAGCCGCGUGGCAAUUAAUUAAUUCUUAUUCAACGUAAUUUACUUCUCCCCCUUUAUGUAUCAUGGAUGGAUAUACAUGGUGGUUGGCUGUUAUUAUCGAAGCAAGAGUCACUGAUGAUGACUACAUUUGAGCUGGUUUGCCGCUUACAAAUCGGUAGAGUGAUUUAUCUUGCUAAUGUAUAUAUAGUUAUGAAUGCAACUCUUUCGCAUCUAGAGAUUGUAUGGCAGCUGCCUCAUAUUUGUACAGUAGACCUGAUCUCCUAAUAGUAUUCUGUGAUGCACAUAUUUUUAUUUC